AGGACGAACGCUGGCGGCGUGCUUAACACAUGCAAGUCGAACGGGAUCCGCAAGGAUUCAGUGGCGAACGGGUGCGUAACACGUGAAGAAUUUGUCCAACGGCGGGGGAUAGCCGGCCCAACGGCCGGGUAAUACCGCGUACGACCUUUGAGGGGCAUCCCUCGAUGGUGAAAGCCGCAAGGCGCCGAUGGAGAACUUCGCGGCCUAUCAGCUAGUUGGUGAGGUCAUGGCUCACCAAGGCGACGACGGGUAGCUGGUCCGAGAGGAUGACCAGCCACAUUGGGACUGAGACACGGCCCAGACUCCUACGGGAGGCAGCAGUGGGGAAUAUUGCGCAAUGGGCGAAAGCCUGACGCAGCGACGCCGCGUGUGGGAUGACGGCCUUCGGGUUGUAAACCACUGUCGCGAGGACGAAGAUCGUGACGGUACCUCGAAAGGAAGCAACCGGCUAACUCUGUGCCAGCAGCCGC
rnacentral:rRNA from 1 species